rnacentral:rRNA from 1 species
GACGAACGCUGGCGGCGUGCUUAACACAUGCAAGUCGAACGGAAAGGCCCUGCUUUUGUGGGGUGCUCGAGUGGCGAACGCGUGAGUAACACGUGAGUAACCUGCCCUUGACUUUGGGAUAUCUUCAGGAAACUGGGGCUAAUAUCGGGUAGGAGCUACUGCUGCAUGGUGGGGGUUGGUAAGUUUCGGCGGUUGGGGCUGGACUCGCGGCUUAUCCGCUUGUUUGUGGGGUAGUGGCUUACCAAGGCUUUGACGGGUAGCCGGCCUGAGAGGGUUACCGGCCACAAGGCGACUGAGAUACGGCCCAGACGCGUACGGGAGGCAGCAGGGGGGAGUAUUGCAGAAUGGGCGGAAGCCUGAUGCAGCAGCGUCGCGUGCGGGAUGACGGGCUUCGGGUUGUAAACCGAUGUCGCCUGUGACGAAGCGUUAGUGACGGUAAUGGGUAAAGAAGCAACGGCUAACUACGUG